UACAGAGGUCUCAACCGUUGUUCGGAUUCAUUGGGCGUAAAGCGCACGUAGGCGGCUUUCUAAGUCGGGGGUGAAAUCCUGGAGCUCAACUCCAGAACUGCCUUCGAUACUGGAAAGCUCGAGUCCGGGAGAGGUGAGUGGAACUGCGAGUGUAGAGGUGAAAUUCGUAGAUAUUCGCAAGAACACCAGUGGCGAAGGCGGCUCACUGGCCCGGUACUGACGCUGAGGUGCGAAAGCGUGGGGAGCAAACAGG
rnacentral:rRNA from 1 species